rnacentral:rRNA from 1 species
UACUCUUCGGAGUGCGAGUAAAGUGGCGAACGGGUGAGUAACGCGUGGGUGAUCUACCCUUUGGUGGGGGAUAACCCGGGGAAACCCGGGCUAAUACCGCAUAAGCCUGAGGUGGUCGACAUUUCAGGGAAAGUUUUUGGGUGCCGAAGGAGGAGCCCGCGUCCGAUUAGCUAGUUGGUGAGGUAAGAGCUCACCAAGGCGACGAUCGGUAGCCGGUCUGAGAGGACGGACGGUCACACUGGGACUGAGACACGGCCCAGACUCCUACGGGAGGCAGCAGUGGGGAAUUUUGGGCAAUGGGCGCAAGCCUGACCCAGCAACGCCGCGUGGAGGAUGAAGGUUUUCGGAUCGUAAACUCCUGUCUAGAGGGACGAAGCAAGUGACGGUACCUCUGGAGGAAGCCCCGGCUAACUCCGUGCCAGCAGCCGCGGUAAUACGGAGGGGGCAAGCGUUGUUCGGAAUUACUGGGCGUAAAGGGCGCGUAGGCGGUUUCGGAAGUCAUGGGUGAAAGUCCUCGGCUCAACCGAGGGAUUGCCUGUGAAACCACGGGACUGGAGUGCUGGAGAGGGAAGUGGAAUUCCCAGUGUAGCGGUGAAAUGCGUAGAUAUUGGGAGGAACACCGGUGGCGAAGGCGGCUUCCUGGACAGACACUGACGCUGAGGCGCGAAAG